ACGGGGAGCACCACAACAGGUGGAGCCUGCGGUUUAAUCGGACUCAACGCCGGGAAACUCACCAGAUAAGACAGCUGAAUGAUAGUCGGGCUGAAGACUCUACUUGACUAGCUGAGAGGAGGUGCAUGGCCGUCGUCAGUUCGUACUGUGAAGCAUCCUGUUAAGUCAGGCAACGAGCGAGACCCACGCCAACAGUUGCCAGCUCGUCCUCCGGGAUGGUGGGGACACUGUUGGGACCGCCUCUGCUAAAGAGGAGGAAGGAAUGGGCAACGGUAGGUCAGCAUGCCCCGAAUUAUCUGGGCUACACGCGGGCUACAAUGGGUGGGACAAUGGGUAUCGACACCGAAAGGUGAAGGCAAUCUCCUAAACCCAUCCGUAGUUCGGAUUGUGGGCUGCAACUCGCCCACAUGAAGCUGGAAUCUGUAGUAAUCGUGUUUCAAAUAGCACGGUGAAUAUGUCCCUGCUCCUU
rnacentral:rRNA from 1 species